UCAAUAUUUUUUCAGACUUUUUUUUCAUAUUGUUCAGACAUUUUUUUCGAAAUAUUUUUUGGACAUUUUAUUGACAUUAUAUCUAAUAGCAAACUAAAUAUUCAGGCCAAAUUAAACUGUAUAUACCUACCAUCUUUAUUCCACUGAAUAUAUACACUUUAAUGUUUUGUCUCUGUCCUCUAAGCUUGACAACACUUUGCUGCCAUCUAGUGGAACUUUAUCUGAGUUGAAUUUAUUUCCAGGAACCAGUUGUUCCGUCACUGAGGUUUUGCCUUUUGUGGAACUUCACUCUGUAUGUGUGGCUUUUCACACAUGAAACUGAAACCGUGAAAAAGGGGAACUCUCUUAAAACGUCAUUUGAUUACAGGAAUUAGUCUGAUCCCAGAGUUUACAGGCCAUGUUUAGUUGACAUGAAAUAUCUGUUAUUGGUUGGUUAAUAAUCUGAGAUGUUAUCUCACGCUUAGUUCACUGAAACAAUGAUUAACUCAAGGCUGAACACAGAGGUCAAAGAGUUGAGGAUUCACUCUGACAGCUCUUCAGUCUGACCGCUGUCUGACGACAGGAAGCUCAUCCACACACGUCCAGCAGCUGCCCAGUCCCACAGUCAUGGACCUGUUCACUGGCUCAACUCCAAGGGAAACUCUGGAGCGAGUUUCAGCCUCUCUGGGCUGCAGUCCGACCUCGGCAGAAGUGGCCGCGUGCCUCGACAAACACGACAAACUGAGGCAUCUCAGGGAGAAAUUCCUGGUGCCCAGAAUAGCAGAUUUGCCUCCCUCUGAUCUCUCGCUGGUCGACGGCGACAAGGAGUGCAUCUACCUUGUGGGGAACUCGCUGGGGCUCCAGCCCAAGAUGGCCAAGAAGUACCUGGACGAGGAGCUGGAGAAGUGGGCCAAGAUGGGCGUCCACGGUCACACCGAAGGCUCUCGACCUUGGGUGUGGGCUGAAAACAACAUAGAGGAGCUCAUGGCUAACGUUGUGGGAGCUAAACCUGAGGAGGUGGCACUGAUGAACGGCCUGACGGUUAAUUUACACCUCCUGCUGCUGUCCUUCUACAAACCCACCGCAGCUCGCCACAAAAUCCUUCUAGAGGACAAAGCCUUUCCUUCAGACCAUUACGCCGUAGAAUCUCAGAUCCAGCUGCGAGGAUUCGACCCUCAGAAGAGCAUGCUGCUGCUGUCGCCCAGACCGGGAGAGGAGACUCUGAGGACUGAGGACAUCCUGGAGGUGAUCGAGAAGGAGGGCGACUCCAUCGCGGUGGUGAUGUUCAGCGGAGUUCAGUAUUACACCGGGCAGCUGUUCGACAUGGCCGCCAUCACCGAGGCCGGACAGAGGAAGGGCUGCUAUGUUGGUUUUGACUGCGCUCACGCUGCCGGAAACGCCGAGCUGAAACUGCACGACUGGGGCGUCGACUUUGCCUGCUGGUGCUCCUACAAGUAUAUCAACUCAGGUGCUGGUGGUCUGGCCGGGGCGUUUAUCCACGAGAAACAUAAAGACACCAUCAAACCUGCGCUGAUGGGGUGGUGGGGACAUGACCUGAAAACUCGGUUCCAGAUGAGUAACGUGAUGGAGCUGCAGCCUGGAGUGAACGGCUUCAGACUGUCAAACCAGCCCAUCCUGCUGGUCUGCCCCCUGCAGGCCAGUUUACAGGUGUUUAACAUGACCAGUAUGCAGGAAUUGCGCAGGAAGUCCCUCCUGCUGACGGGCUACCUGGAGUAUCUGAUCCGCCAUUAUUACAGCGAGGACCCCACGCAGCCUCACAAACCCCACGUGCGCAUCCUCACGCCCUCCGACCCUCAGCAGAGAGGCUGUCAGCUCUCACUCUCCUUCUCCAUCCCCAUCCGAAAGGUCUUCCAGGAGCUGGAGAAGAGGGGGGUCGCUUGUGACAUGAGGGAGCCCAGUGUGCUGCGCAUCGCUCCAGUGCCGCUCUACAACUCCUUCAGCGACGUCCAUCGCUUCGUAGAAACCCUGGGAGCAGCGUUGACUGCCAGCAGCCAAUGAAUGAAGACAGAUCACUGCAGGUGGACUGAUGUAGAAACGCUCUGUGGGAACAAGUGCACAGUCUUCAGGCUCCUGUAGAUGUGCAGCCUCAGUGGACGACAUCUGGGAAGAAGAGGAACGUUACACAGAUCAACUGAAGGAACAUGUUGUACUCUGAGAUGUCGACACGAGUCUUAACAUGCAAGAAAAGUCAGCAUUAAGGCUGGAAAGUGGAGAACUGCAUCAUGUUGAUUAAUAAGAAGACAAAGAUCAACAGGAUGUCGACAAACCUGAAGACUGUUCAUUUGUUCCCACAGAGCGUUUCUACAUCAGUCCACCUGCAGUGAUCUACACACUGAAACACAAAAUAACGUCAUCAGAAUUUUAAGUUGUUUUGAUUUAAAGAUUAAGGUUGUUGUACACAUUCAAACCAACCUCAGUGUAUGAAAUAAAAAAGUGGAUAAAUUAUCUGUCAAAAUGUUUCCAAGCUUCACCUCUCUGAAGCCAGUGAUGUGAUUGUAAAGUAGCUCAAUGCUGCCAUCUUGUGGUCUCAUUGGAUAUUACACAAACACCUGUACCCUGAAUACUUCUGACUGAAGAGACUCAUGUAUCCUCAUGUUUGUCCAUCCUUAAAUGUCUCAGACACA